UUAAUUCGAUGCAACGCGAAGAACCUUACCUGGUCUUGACAUCCACAGAACUUUCCAGAGAUGGAUUGGUGCCUUCGGGAACUGUGAGACAGGUGCUGCAUGGCUGUCGUCAGCUCGUGUUGUGAAAUGUUGGGUUAAGUCCCGCAACGAGCGCAACCCUUAUCCUUUGUUGCCAGCGAUUAGGUCGGGAACUCAAAGGAGACUGCCAGUGAUAAACUGGAGGAAGGUGGGGAUGACGUCAAGUCAUCAUGGCCCUUACGACCAGGGCUACACACGUGCUACAAUGGCGCAUACAAAGAGAAGCGACCUCGCGAGAGCAAGCGGACCUCAUAAAGUGCGUCGUAGUCCGGAUUGGAGUCUGCAACUCGACUCCAUGAAGUCGGAAUCGCUAGUAAUCGUGGAUCAGAAUGCCACGGUGAAUACGUUCCCGGGCCUUGUACACACCGCCCGUCACACCAUGGGAGUGGGUUGCAAAAGAAGUAGGUAGCUUAACCUUCGGGAGGGCGCUUACCACUUUGUGAUUCAUGACUGGGGUGAAGUCGUAACAAGGUAACCGUAGGGGAACCUGCGGUUGGA
rnacentral:rRNA from 3 species